rnacentral:rRNA from 1 species
GAUGAACGCUGGCGGCGUGCCUAAUACAUGCAAGUCGAGCGAACAGAUAAGGAGCUUGCUCCUUUGACGUUAGCGGCGGACGGGUGAGUAACACGUGGGUAACCUACCUAUAAGACUGGGAUAACUUCGGGAAACCGGAGCUAAUACCGGAUAACAUUUGGAACCGCAUGGUUCUAAAGUGAAAGAUGGUUUUGCUAUCACUUAUAGAUGGACCCGCGCCGUAUUAGCUAGUUGGUAAGGUAACGGCUUACCAAGGCGACGAUACGUAGCCGACCUGAGAGGGUGAUCGGCCACACUGGAACUGUGACACGGUCCAGACUCCUACGGGAGGCAGCAGUAGGGAAUCUUCCGCAAUAGGCGAAAGCCUGACGGAGCAACGCCGCGUGAGUGAUGAAGGGUUUCGGCUCGUAAAACUCUGUUAUUAGGGAAGAACAAAUGUGUAAGUAACUGUGCACGUCUUGACGGUACCUAAUCAGAAAGCCACGGCUAACUACGUG